GGGGGGAAAAUAGAAAGGGAAAAGAAAGGAAGGGGAAAGAGGGAAGAUGGGGGAAAAUGGAGAACAGGAAGGGAGACAGAGGACGAGGGAGAAGAAGAGAGGGGGAGGAACAACGCUAUGGAGCUUGGCGCCGCUGCCGAGCUGCUGUCGCAGAGAAGAAAGGGAGAGGCGAACGUGACCCACGGAGGAGAGGAAGGAGCUGCCGUCGAGCCACGCCCCUUUGCCUUGUUCGUGUAUCGCCGUUGCUGUUCGCUGAGGGUGAGACGCGAAGAGAAGAUGCUGACCCGCACCAUCGUGCCUCGCUAUCUUCGUCGAGCCUUCAUCAUUGUCGCUCCCUAUUCCCGUUGCCAUCAGGGUUUGCUGCCGCUGCCAUUGAGAGUGACGCAGCAGAGGAGGAGUCGUUCCUCUUCCGCCGCCGUCGCCGGAGACGUUGGUUGCUGCUGUUCAUAUGGUUGUUGGAAUCGUUACAGCUAGAACUUGUCACCGGGGGAGAGAAGCGGCUGCACCAUCCUCUUCGUUUUGACAUUGAACCUCUAUUCCUAACCCUUAUUAUGGUGUUAUGCUGAAAUUGCCGAAAUUGCCAUUGCUGCGAGCGUAACCAGAAUUGAUGCUGCUGCCGCCGUCUCGGUUGCGUUGAAAUCGCUGCUGCAGUUGCCAAUUUAGACUAAGCAGGGAUUGUUGCGUUAAACUAUGCGAUUGCGACAUCGAGCGACAGGUUUGAAGACGCAAUUUGAAGCUGCGAGCGAUCAGUAGGCUUUCUUUAUGGUUUUAAUUGCUUUCAUAGAGUUCCCUCACUCUUGUCCUUUGAGAUUUUAUUUUACAUAGAGGGGUAGGUUUAGUAUAUUGUAU